ACAAGUUUUCAUACUCGCUUCAAAGGCUGUCCUAUUCUCGGAAACAUUAUUGACUAGGUCAUUCAUAGAAAGCACAGAACGUAAGCAACUCAUCCCAUAUAUUGUUAGAAUCAUAUCCGCAUACCUAUUUGAAAAUGCAUAAAUCGCUUCUGGCUCUCUCAAGUCUGGAAGCAAGUUAAAAAUAUCUUGAAGGACAGAAAUAAUGCUGUGAUUUGGAGGUAUCCUACCUUCAACUAUAUCAUUCAAAUAGUUUUUGGAUUCUUUUAAUUUAGAGACAAGUAUUUUACAAGAGUUAAUUGUAUCUGAAAUUUGCGUAAUAAGAGUAGAGGUUGACGUAUUUUUAAGGUCUCUCAAUAGGUGUUCCACACCAACUUCCUCUGCUUCGAAUGCGCCAAUCGUACAUGGAACAUGCGCAAACUUUUUCUUUAAGACACUAUUGGGUUCGUCCAUUGAAAAAUAAGCGCUAAUUGGACUUGACAAAUAUUCAAAAUCAUCCGCAGUUACAUCAGCAAUUAAAUAUAAUGGGUCAGGGCAAUAUUUUCUAAAUAACUCAUGUAUAUCGAUAUCAACAACCUUGGUUUUGGGGCCAGUGCUGUACCAACCAAUGAUUUUCUCUUUUGUAUUGAUCUUUUUAAACAUUAAAUACAUUUGUUCAUGAUAAUUGUGAUCUAGAUACCAAACCAUUGGGUCCCUUGAAUCCUCCUCAAAAGGUAAAGCGUAACUAUUUGUAACGUGAAUUCCAUCUUCAUCAUGAAGUUCUCCUAGCAAUGUGCCAACUACCCUUUUUGAAGUACCCUUUGCAAUCCUAUUAUAAUGAUCUACAAUUGAUAAAAGCACAAUUGGGUGAAUAAUAAUGUUUUUUCGAUUACUUAAACUGGAAUUUACUUUGUACAAUGCAGCACCUGAAUGUUCUCCGCUUAGACACAUUAUUAAACACCCCGAGAAUUGAAACAGAAAUAUUUUCAAAAAAUUGUGUAAAAAAUAUAAAACUCUUAGUUCCGGAAGUUUUGGAAGAUCCCCUCAGUCCCCCCACCCAGUAAAUUAGUUUCCUCAUAUUGUGAUAUUCGUAAAAUAUUCCCGCAAAUGACUUUUUAUUAGAAACGUUGAGCAUAGGAUUAUUCAUAUUCUAUCACAGAAAUUGGUGCUGGUGUAAUUAACUCUUAUGUAGCUUUUCUAGGAUCUUGUAGUAAAUGAUAGAGGAAGGGUGAUAGGCAAAAGACAGCUUGAAUACGUCUUGCUCUCUGAAACCAAAUAACUUGUUUUGAGUCAAAACUACUUUUUUUGAAAAAUGACUAAUCAUUUUUUGGUGACUUAUUAGAGUACAGAUGUUUUUAUAUGGCUUAUCACUUAAUUUGCAUAAUUUAUUAGAGUUGCUAUCAAUACCGGAUAUACUAAUUUGAAUAUCCUUCAGAAAAUUGUUUGAGUUGUGUGCUAGCCCAGAAACAUCGAUAUUAUACCUCUUGUUAAAUUCGAAUAGAGAUAAACCAUGCUUUAAGAUUUUCAGACGGUGUUUGUGUGCUGUAAGGAUAAUAUCACAAUGACGUAUAAAAUUAGUUGAUUUCCAUAUCAGCAUGCCUUUGUAAUUAUCUGGAAUGAAAAGAGUGAUAUAUUUCAUAAUAUCAUGGCUUUUCUCACAAUCCAUUACUUUUGGCAACAAGAUUUUUCUAGACAACUUGAUCGAAUUUACUAGAGAAUCUGAUUUGCUAAUUCGUUCGCCUCUGUUAGUUUUGAUUAACGAAUUUUGUCCGGAAAAACUAAUUGGAGAGAUUCUGAGUUCAGAGAACCUAAUAAACUUAAGUGAUGACUCAUUCGUAUUGUCAUUACCAUUAUCUAAAAUAUUUUCAAAAUAAUUGACUUUACUAAAAGGGUUUGAAUUUGCUCCAGGUGGGAAUUUUAAGUUGUUUUGAAUUAGAUUACUAUAUUCUAGAUCAUCAAGAUUUCCCCAAAGAUGUAAUCUCAAUUUCCAUUCUUUUAAUCUACCUGAAAAGCAUGAUUUACUUGUAUUUGAGUAUGGAUCUGGGGUAGAAGGAUGCCAAGUAAAACUUAACUCUCUCUUCCUUUCAUUUUUUCUCACCGCAGUUGUGUACCUUUGAUAUCCAACGCUAUUCUUUGCUAUGUUGAUCUGCUUCAGCCUUUGGCUGAUCCUUCUUUCUUCUAUUUUUGAUAACAAUUUGAAAAUUCCUAAACUUCGUGUAAUUAUUAUAAAAAGAGCCGCUUAUCUUUAAUGUUAAAACUUAUAUCUGCCUUCAGGCUUAAAUUGAACUAUUCCGC
rnacentral:antisense_RNA from 1 species